CUGACCUGUUCUCUCGUUAACACGCCAUUUAAACUGGUGAAUCAAUAUAUACGGACAGCACACCAAUGGAUAUACAGUCACAUGUUCAUGUUCAAGCUGGGGAGAAGAAGAAUUCAGAGACGGGAAUACGCUCCAAUCCACAGACAGCAAUGUCUGGUGAAAACGACGACCCAGACAAAUCCGUGUUGAAAAGCUAUGAACGACGUAAAAAAGAAGAAAAAGACGGAAUUCCUGUAUUGUAAAAUCUUGAGAAUGCUCUUGGUGUAACACUGCGUCGAGAUCAUGACUUUCCUGAACAUUACUUAUUUUGUAUUUGUAUAACAUGUUGCAGAGUAAAGCUUAUAAACUCACCACUAUGUAUGUGAAAAGCUAUGAACGACGUAAAAAGAAGAAAAAGACGGAAUUCCUGUAUUGUAAAAUCUUGAGAAUGCUCAUGGUGUAACACUGUGUCGAGAUCUGACUUUCCUGAACAUUACUUAGUUUGUGUUUGUAUAAAAUGUUGCAGAGUAAAGCUUAUAAACUCACCA